GGCCUCUGUGGUGCACUGGUAGCACACACUCCUGUAAAGGUGGAACGCGGGUUCAACUCCCGUCCUAGGUCG